GAAAGAGGAAAUUGUGAAGACAUUUAAGGGAACAUUUUCAGGCUUGGCCAUUUAGUAGCCUGCUGACAAAACUGACUGUUUCCAGGCCAAGGAUAUUUUCUCCAGGAUGGGUGUUGUCUGAGAAUCGUCUUGAAUCCAGAGGCCUGUAGAUGGCAAUCUUGCGCUGCAUUGGAGAAGCAAUCAUUGGAGAAGCAAUUCCCAACAUCCUGCACAGCUCCUGGAAAGAGAAAGCUUUGUUAGUCACCAGAUGAGGCUGACCAGAGAGUGUCAUACAACAGCACGGGAAACAAGUUGGAGUUGGAGCUUCUGCUGGGAAGGCCACCUGACCUGGAGCUGGGACGUCCUCACACCUAUCAGAAGUCCCAACGAUCAAAACACUGACCAGUUUAGAGAGAUAACUGGAAGCCUGGUGUUUGGAGAGAGAAAAUAGCUGAAGAUGAAGCACUGUGGGCAGUUCUGAUUACAGACAAAGCAAGAAAGGCUGUGUACUUCCAGCCCCCUAUGAUUCUAAAGAGCUCUGUUAAAUAACAGACUGCACCGUCUCCAUCAAAGAUCCAUGAAGGUGAAUGCUUCACUGCCAGAAAUACUUAUUUAUAUAUGUGUAUUCUGAACCAUAAAGAGAACUAGGGCUUAUUACAGUCUUGCUUUAAUUUUUGAACAGCUAGGUGGUGCUGCUCGAAUAUUUAGUAUGUAUUUACUGUUUAAUUUUAGUAUCAUAAUGUUAAGUCAAAGAUCAAGACUCAGAUGUAUGAGAUACAGAGAAAAUGCAAAUUUGCUGCAUGUCCCAAAUGGAUUACAAUGGAAGUAAAAGGGUACACGUUCUCUGCACUUCACCUACUUCUUCAUUCUGUUGAGCCUGAUAAAGCCACAGCUGUAUUGUUUCCAAUACUCAAAUGAACUAAUUAAAAAUUAGUAGGUUUUUUUUUGUGUGUGUAAUACUCUGUGAUGUAGUCACACGUGUGAAAGUGAUGAUGAUGGAGAGAGACCAAGAGGUGUCAGUGAGCUCGGCCAGAAUAGGAGGCAAUGAGCAGACAAAGCUGCUGAGCUGUUCUUUGAAUGGUCACAGCAAAAGGGGGUUAUAAAUAGGAUGUAAUAGGCAAUGUAAGACAGUGAAAUAGGCAAUGUAAGACACAAUGGGAGCAAGGUUUGGAGAAAUACCUCCAUUGAGCAAUGUAAGAAAUGGGUUCAUGUGUUGAUAUUAAGGCCAGUUGGAAAUUGCUUUUCUGUCUUUUUUUUUAUUUUAUUUUUUAGAAAUAAAUGAAAAAUAACAAGAACA
rnacentral:lncRNA from 1 species